rnacentral:rRNA from 1 species
AGUGAACGCUGGCGGUAGGCCUAACACAUGCAAGUCGAACGGCAGCACAGUAAGAGCUUGCUCUUGCGGGUGGCGAGUGGCGGACGGGUGAGGAAUACAUCGGAAUCUACUUUUUCGUGGGGGAUAACGUAGGGAAACUUACGCUAAUACCGCAUACGACCUACGGGUGAAAGCAGGGGAUCUUCGGACCUUGCGCGAUUGAAUGAGCCGAUGUCGGAUUAGCUAGUUGGCGGGGUAAAGGCCCACCAAGGCGACGAUCCGUAGCUGGUCUGAGAGGAUGAGCAGCGACACUGGAACUGAGACACGGUCCAGACCCCUACGGGAGGCAGCAGUGGGGAAUAUUGGACAAUGGGCGCAAGCCUGAUCCAGCCAUACCGCGUGGGUGAAGAAGGCAUUGGGGUUGUAUAGCCCUUUUGUUGGGAAAGAAAAGCAGCAGGUUAAUACCCCGCUGUUCUGACGGUACCCAAAGAAUAAGCACCGGCUAACUUCGUG